GGGGAUGUGAGCUUUCCUGAGUUCCCACAGUUCUCUGCCCCUCUCCUGUCUCAUGGCACAAGGGCCUCCUGGGGCUUGCGGUGGUUUUGCGCCAAGCUAAUAUCUUGUUCUUCCCAACAGACGGAGGCCCAUUGAGGCUUCUGUGUCCUCCACGGGGACCAGCAUUGGGCUAAACCUGCAGACACCAUUGCAAAGGGAAUUCAGGCAAACCCGCUGGUGAAAAAUGAUUCCAGCGUGGGGACAGAGGCUGACAUUUCUCGCGUGGGUGAUUUAAUGUUGGGCCUCAAUUUUUCACUCCCCCCGUAAGAGUAUGACAUAGCCACAACCUUGCCAGGGCCCGAGGGAGGGUGGAUGGACUUAUCCGUCCCAUAGGUGUUGCUCGUGGCUGGGUGACUUGCUUCUGCCAACGAGAUUUUCACAGACACGGCACAAGCAGAAGCCUGGAAUGUGUGGGCACUGCCAGGCCUGCCGUCUAAGGCUCUUGAUUUUCCCCAUGAGAUGCACGUGCCCCAGGGAACGGCGGCUCUGGCUGUGGGAUGAGAGGCGUGUGGAGCAGUCAUGGUUCCCAUCCUUAGCCUGGAGUCAAGGCCAGACUAGAUCAGCCUAAGCCCAGCCACGCCACGGGUGCAGGAGUGAAGAGCAAAUGCUAACUGUCCAUGGAAUUGACUUUCAAAGGGGCGUGUCAUGUGCCUCAUCCCAGCAACAGGGAAGGCAUUUCUCUAUCAGUCAGUUGGUAAAUGAUUAUUGACAAACAAUGUGCUGGGAAGGUGGAGUGAUUUGAGUAGAUUUGGCCUCUAUUCUCAUGGAGCUUCCUUUCUAGAGGGGAAGGCAGAUGAUGGAUGGAUAAAUAUAAAUGAUUCUAAUAGGUUGGUGCAGCAGUCAUUAAAAGUAAUGGCGAAAAAAAAAACAAAAGAAACGGGGAGGAGCCGUUGCUGCCGUUCAUUAAUAGUAAUGGCAAAACCCGCGAUGACUUGUGCGCCAACCUAACCCAGUAACCACGGGUGUGCAAAUGUGGCAAUGGGCAAGUUCCGAGUGCUAGGAGAGCAUCUAGCUUCCCGGAGUCAGGAGACGGGGGUUGGCAACCUAACCAAGGUUAAGUCCAAGUGAGGGGGGUGGGCAGGGAGCGAUAUUUCAGUGGAGACUCCAAGGAUGAAUGGUAUUUAGAGAGUAAACCCCGAUAGGGUGUUUGUCUGGCACAGAGAAGAGCCUGUGCAAAAGCUGGUGGGGUGAGAGGACACCGUGUAUUCAUCCACCUGAGGGGCGACCAGCAGGCUGGAGCUCAGUGGGUUGAGAGGAGGAUGCAGAGCCCGGGAAAGGCACCCUAGGCAGAGGGCACAGAAGCGCAAAGGCCUGGAGUGAGGCCUGAGCCUGUGUGGUUUGAGGAACGGACAGAGGCCUGUCCGUCAGGAAGGGAACGGCACCGGGGAGAGACCUUAGGCCACAGCAGAGGGCAGGGCAGAGGGCAGGGCCGUGCUGGGCACUGUGGGCUGUGGAUGGUGCUGGCAUUUAAGAGGGGAGACCAUAGACCAGGGCAGAGGGCAGGGCCGUGCUGGGCACUUCGGGCUGUGGAUGGGAGCUGGCAUUUAUGCUCAGGUGAUGGGAAUGUGUUAAAAGAUUUUAAGGAGGGGAGUAACAGUUGGGAUUAAUGUGUAUUCUGGGAAUCUCAACAAAGUAAAUUCAUAGUUUGAAUUUUCAUAAGACUUCUGCACAGGCAGAGAGAAAUAAGAUCAUGUCUACAGCUGUGUGAUGAUUUUAUUGAAAAACAUUACUAAGUUUUUAAACGUGAUUUCAAAUGGUGUGUUUCUGUUUCACCUUGGACAUAAGUAGAUUGCAAGGCUAAUGGAAAGUAGAAAAGUUAAUUCAUGAACAUAAAAGAGAUAUCAAUUUGAAAACAAAACGUUUAUUCAUUUACUUCCGCUGCAGAUUUCUUGACUGCUGAAUUUCAUGAGAAGGGAUUGUUCAGGGAGGGACAUGGGGCUGAAGACCUGGAGAGGAGGUGGUGCUACCGCUGUUCAAAUCUGAGGGUGGUGGAGAUGGAGCCUUGGGGAGGAGCAGGUGCUGCCUUUUAAGUCUAUGAGAGUCGUUGAGCUGGAGGUCCAGGGAGGAGCCAGUGCUCCCACUGAUGUCUUAGGUUGUGGAGCUGAAGACAAUGAAGGAGCCAGUGUGGCUGUUCUGUGAGACUCGUGGAGCUGGAGAUCCAGGUGGGAGAGGUGUUUUAGCUCGGGGAAGAGCUGAUGUUCUACCUUGAGGGUCGUGCAGCUGCAGACCCGGGGAGGAGCUGAUGUUCUAGAUUGAGGGUCGUGCAGCUGCAGACCCGGGGAGGAGCUGAUGUUCUAGAUUGAGGGUCGUGCAGCUGCAGACCCGGGGAGGAGCUGAUGUUCUAGAUUGAGGGUCGUGCAGCUGCAGACCCGGGGAGGAGCUGAUGUUCUAGAUUGAGGGUCGUGCAGCUGCAGACCCGGGGAGGAGCUGAUGUUCUAGAUUGAGGGUCGUGCAGCUGCAGACCCGGGGAGGAGCUGAUGUUCUAGAUUGAGGGUCGUGCAGCUGCAGACCCGGGGAGGAGCUGAUGUUCUAGAUUGAGGGUCGUGCAGCUGCAGACCCGGGGAGGAGCUGAUGUUCUAGAUUGAGGGUCGUGCAGCUGCAGACCCGGGGAGGAGCUGAUGUUCUAGAUUGAGGGUCGUGCAGCUGCAGACCCGGGGAGGAGCUGAUGUUCUAGAUAGAGGGUCAUGCAGCUGAAGACUCGGGGAGGAGCUGAUGUUGUAGUUUGAGGGUCAUGCAGUUGAGGACUUUGGGAGGAGCUGAUGUUGUUCGUGUUGAGGGUCUUUCAGCUGGGGACUCAGGGAGGAGCUGAUAAUCUUGAUUAAGGGUCAUGGAGCUGGAGACCCAGACAGGAGCUGAUGUUCUAGUUAGUGGAUCUUCCAGCUACAGAGUCAGAGAGGAGCUGAUGUUCUAGAUUGAGGGUCAUGCAGCUGAAUACUCGGGGAGGAGCUGAUGUUGUAGUUUGAGGGUCAUGCAGUUGAGGACUUCGGGAGGAGCUGAUGUUGUUCACGUUGAGGGUCUUUCAGCUGGGGACUCAGAGAGGAGCUGAUAAUCUUGAUUGAGGGUCAUGGAGCUGGAAACCUAGACAGGAGUUGAUGUUCUAGUUAGUGGAUCUUCCAGCUGCAGACCCAGGGAGGAGCUGAUGUUCUAGUUUGAGGGUCGUGCAGCUGAAGACCCGGGGAGGAGCUGAUGUUCUAGAUUGAGGGUCGUGGAGCUGCAGACGCGGAGAGGAGCUGAUGUUCUAGUUUGAGGGUCGUGCAGCUGGAGACCUGGAGAGGAGCUGAUGUUCUAGUUUGAGGUUCUUGCAGCUGCAGACCUGGAGAGGAGCUGAUGUUCUAGAUUGAGGGUCGUGCAGCUGCACACUUGGAGAGGAGCUGAUGUUCUAGAUUGAGGGUCUUGCAGCUGCAGACCUGGAGAGGAGCUGAUGUUCUAGUUUGAGGAUCUUGCAGCUGCAGACCCGGAGAGGAGCUGAUGUUCUACUUUGAGGGUCGUGCAGCUGGAGACCUGGAGAGGAGCUGAUGUUCUAGUUUGAGGGUCAUGCAGGUGAAGACUCGGGGAGGAGCUGAUGUUCUAGUUUGAAGGUCUUGCAGCUGCAGACCUGGAGAGGAGCUGAUGUUCUAGUUUGAAGGUCUUGCAGCUGCAGACCUGGAGAGGAGCUGAUGUUCUAGAUUGAGGGUCGUGCAGCUGAAGACUCGGGGAGGAGCUGAUGUUCUAGAUUAAGGGUCAUGCAGCUGAAGACUCAGGGAGGAGCUGAGGUUCUAGUUUGAGGGUCGUGCAGCUGAAGACUUGGGAGGAGCUGAGAUUCUAGUUUGAGGGUCGUGCAGCAGAAGACUCAGGGAGGAGCUGAUGUUCUAGAUUGAGGGCCCUACAGCUGCAGACCUGAAGAGGUGCUGAUGUUCGAGAUUGAGGGUCGUGCAGCUGAAUACUCGGAGAGGAGCUGAUGUUAUAGUUUGAGGGCCCUACAGCUGAAGACCCGGAGAGUAUCUGAUCUUCGAGAUUGAGGGUCAUGCAGCUGAAGACUCCGGGAGGAGCUGAGUUGCUAAUUUGAGGGUCUUGCAGCUGCUGACUUGGGGAGGAGCUGAUGUUCUAGUUUGAGGGCCCUACAGUUGGAAAUCUGUACAGGAGCUGAUGUUCUAGUUUGAGGGUCAUGCAGGUGAAAAAUCGGGGAGGAGCUGAUAUUCUAGUUUGAGGGCCCUGCAGCUAGAGAUGCAGACAGGAGCUGAUGUUGUAGUUUGAGGGUCGUACAGCUGAAGAUUCAGGGAGGAGCUGCUCGUGUAUUUUUAGGGUCAUGCAGCUGCAGACCCGGAGAGGAGCUGAUGUUAAAGAUUGAGGGUCAUGCAGCUGAAGACUCUGGGAGGAGCUGACGUUCUAAUUUGAGGUCCCUACAGGUGGACACCGAGAGAGGAGCUUAUGUUCUAGAUUGAGGGUCAUGCAGCAGAAGACUCGGGGAAGAGCUGAGGUUGUAGUUUGAGGGUCGUGCAGCUGGAGAACCAGACAGGAGCUGAUGUUGUAGAUUGAGCGUCGUGCAGCUGAAGACUCAGGGAGGAGCUGAUGUUGUUCGUUUUGAGGGUGUUUCAGCUGGAGACUCAGGGAGGAGCUGACGUUCUAGAUUGAGGGUCUUGCAGCUGCAGACCUGUAGAGGAACUGAUGUUCUAGAUUGAGGGUCACGCAGCUGAAGACUUGGGGAGAAGCUGAUGUUCUAACUUGAGGGUCGUGCAGCUGAGGACUCGGGGAGGAGCUGAUGUUGACAGCUGUGCAGCUGGAGAUCCGGCGGGGAGCUGAUGUUCCGGUUUGAGGGCUCUGAUGGGAGCUGAUGUUGCAAUUUGAGGGCCAUGCAGCUGGAGACCUGGCGGGGAGGUGAUGUUCCAGUUUGAGGGCCAUGCAGCUGGUGACCUGGCAGGGAGCUGAUGUUCCAGUUUGAGGACCGUGCUCCUGGAGACCUAGCGGGGAGCUGAUGUUCCAGUUUAAGGCCAUGCAGCUGUAUGCCCGGGGGGAACUGAUGUUGCAGUUUGAGGGCCGUGCAUCGGGAGACCCGGUGGGGAGCCAGUGUUGCAGGUUGAGGGCCGUGCAGCUGGAGACCCUGUGGGGAGCUGAUGUUCUUGUUUGAGAGCCGUGCAGCUGGAGACCCUGUGGGGAGCUGAUGUUCCUGUUUGAGAGCUGUGCAGCUGGAGAUCUGGUGGGGAGCUGAUGUUCCAGUAUGAGGGCCGUGCGGCUGGAGACCUGGUGGGGAGCUGAUGUUCCAGUUUGAGGGCCGUGCACCUGGAGACCCGGCAGGGAGCUGAUGUUCCAGUUUGAGGGCUGUGCAGCUGGAUACCGGGGGUGGAGCUGAUGUUCCAGUUUGAGGGCCAUGCAUCUGGAGACCCAGUUGGUAGCCAGUGUUGCAGGUUGAGGGCUGUGGAGUUGGAGACCCGGGUUGGGGGGAGCUGAUGUUCCAGGUUGAGGGCCAUGCUGCUGGAGACCCAGCGGGGAGCUGAUGUUGCAGUUUGAGGCGGUGCAGCUGGACAUGCAGGGGGGAAGUGAUGUUGCAAUUUGAGGGCUGUGCAGCUGGAGACCCUGUGGGGAGCUGAUGUUCCUGUUUGAGGGUCUCGGAGCUGAUGUUCCAGUUUAAGGCCAUGCAGCUGGAGACCCGGUGGGGAGCUGAUGUUCCAGUUUGAGGGCCAUGCAUCUGGAGACCCGGUGGGGAGCUGAUGUUGCAGGUUGAGGGCCAUUCAUCUGGAGACCCAGUGGGGAGCUGAUGUUGCAGGUUGAGGGCUGUGCACCUGGAGCCCCGGGGUGGAGCUGAUAUUCCAGUUUGAGGGCCGUGCAGCUGGCAAUCUGGUGGGGAGCUGAUGUUCCAGUUUGAGGGCCAUGCAGCUGGAGACCGGGCAGGGAGCUCAUGUUCCAGUUUGCAGGCAGUGCAGCUGGAGACCCGGCGGGGAGCUGAUGUUCCAGUUUGAGGUCCGUGCAGCUGGAGAUCUGGUGGGGAGCUGAUGUUCCAGUUUGAGGGCCCUGCAGCUGGAGACCCGUGGGGAUCUGAUGUUCCAGUUUGAGGGUGGUGCUGCUGGCGACCCAGGCGGGAGCUGAUGUUCUAGUUUUAGGGCCCUACAGCUGGAGACCCGGGGAGGAGCUGACAUUCCCUUUCGAGGGCUGUGCAGGUGGAGACCUGGGGAGGAACUGAUGUUGUUCUAAUUUGAGUGUGGUGCAGCUGGAGAUCCAGGGAUGAGAUGGCCCUGCGGUUCAAAUAUGAGGGUCCCGGAGCUGGACUCUACGUGAGGAACCAAUGCUGCCUCUGAUGUCUUAGGUUGUGGAGCUGGAAACUCGCGGAGGAGCUGGUAUUGGUGUUUCUAGUUGAGGGUCGUGGUAUUUCCAGGGUUUCACAGAGGCCAGAUUUUAUUUCAGUUACU
rnacentral:lncRNA from 1 species